rnacentral:rRNA from 1 species
GUCUGCGGCCACGCCACCCUGAACGUGCCCGAUCCCGUCUGACCUCGGAAGCUGAGCAGGGUCGGGCCUGGUGAGUCCCUGGAUGGGAGACCGCCCAGGAAGAGCAGGUGCUGGAGGCG